rnacentral:lncRNA from 1 species
ACGGCCCUGCACCCAGGACGAGUCAAAAGAUGUUGGUUUAGGCCAUCACUGCUGGUCAGGCAGACUAGCCUUGGCUCUGAUGACCUUUUAGGGACCUCAUGCUUCUUUUGGGAUGGUGCAUAGGUGUCCCUGCCUGAUGGAACCCUCCAGCACCACAGGCAUGUGUGAGAGUUGUCAGAGGGGGCAGCAGGCUGAUGGAUGGCCACACCAGCUGCUCACACAGCGGUAGCGCUGACUUCCUGCCCCUGGGGUAGGCCAGAAUUCAAUGAGGCUUGGAGAGAAAAUCUGCCAGAAUGGCUUCCCUUGCCCUUUUAUGGGAUGAUGAGGCCAGUUUUGCAACUACAAAGGGCCCAGAGUUUCCCUUGUGAAUGAGCUCAGCAUCCUCACGUUUCCAAGAGGAAUCAACACUGCAAUUCCUCGGACCACGGUGGCUCUCUUCCCAGCACACCUUUGCUGUGACCUGCACCCCUGCAUUGUCCUCAAAGACACACUAAGAAAACACAUUUCAGAAGGAAGGACGUAACGGAGCUCAUGAUCCAGUUCUGCAUUUGGCGUGGCCCCAAAGACACUGUGUGCAGAGUCAGAAAUAUGCUCCCCAGUUGGACUCCAUGGGAUACUGUUUCAAAAGAGCUAUCAUUCUUGUCUGUUUACCACAUAUCUUGUUCUAAUAGGCUCUUCUUUUCCAGAGUUUUUUAUUUUCCCUGGCAUUUUGUGUUUUGGUAAUUGCCUACAAGAAUAGUUCUAUAACAGAAAUCAACAAUGAAAACCAAAUUACCCCUGCCCACAUCCUUUCAUUCCUUUUUCAUCUCUAAUGAUAUUUUCUGUAUGAUGACUAACCCAGACUGACGUAAUUUAUCAAUUGAUCUUGACGAUGUACAUUAGAAAAUGCAUUCUGCAGGCCCCAGCAGGCCAUCUUCCAUGUGCGCCACGUAGCUUUAGAAAACCUAUUAGUGCAACAGAAAUAUCUAAAGCCCAGCCUUUUUGCUAAGAAUAUUAGAACUGGUGCUAAUUACUUUAUUAAUCAUAAAGUGAAACAGCCGUGCUAUGUCACCACAGCCGUAAAAUAAGUGGUUUUAUGGCAAAAGUAGUUAAAGAGAAAGGACAGAUUGGAUUUAUAUACUCAGCUGGUUAAAAAAAAGAAAUUAUGCAUACCAGCAAUUUUCUUUCUUUGGUUAAAUGUUCAUUAAAUGUGUACCACUAAAAACCAUUUGUAACUAAUUCCCUAGUGGGUCCAUGCCUUAAAAUAAUUUAUUUUAAAAUACAAAUUAAGGCUUAAAUUUGCCUUUUUAUUAAAAAUAGGUAUAAUGAGUCAACAUAUCUCCUAAGAGAAAGGAGCGUUGCAGACAUGCUGAUGAGAGGAAUCUUGUCGCCAAAACCUGGAGGCCAUGCUGGUGUUGGGGACUUAGGCUAUCCUGCAGGUGCCUGUCACCAUUAAGGGCGGCAGAAUUCAGAGGCUUUGGUCCAGGUUAAAGCACAGAGGUGGCCACUGUCUGAAGACAGGGACACCACAAUGACCAUCAUUGAGGGCGAUGUUUAUGCUUCCAUUGUUAGUUUAGAUAUUUUGUUUUCUUUAAAGUCAGUAUUGUCUCUGAGUAAAUAAAAACAAUCUCCAGUUUCUG